UCGAAUUUGAAGGCUCGGGUUGUAGCUGGUCUCUCUCGAGACAGGUGCUCGCCCUUGCUCUUACAACCCACAUACCCUGUGCACUCCUGCGUGAGUCGUGCCGACUUUGUUCGGUGCGCUCACGACUUUAUAAACCCUCAGUAUGUUUUAGAAUGUCUCUGCGUAUCUACGCAACCUAGUACAACUUUCAACAACGGAUCUCUUGGCUCUCGCAUCGAUGAAGAACGCAGCGAAAUGCGAUAAGUAAUGUGAAUUGCAGAAUCCAGUGAAUCAUCGAAUCUUUGAACGCAACUUGCACCCCUUGGUAUUCCGAGGGGUACACCUGUUUGAGUGUCGUGAAUUUCUCAACUCUACCUCCUUUUUCGAGGAGUUGUAGGGCUUGGACUUGGAGGCUUUGCAGGCGGUUUUCCGUCUGCUCCUCUUAAAUGUAUUAGUGACGUGCCCCGGGUGGCUUGGACGUGAUAAUUGUCUACGUUCGUAGUUGCUCGUCGUUGGCGGUUGCUUCUAACUGUCCCUUCGUUGGGACGAUUCUUGAAACUUGACCUCAAAUCAGGUGGGACUACCCGCUGAACUUAAGCAUAUCAAUAAGCGAAG
rnacentral:rRNA from 1 species